GAUGAACGCUGGCGGCGUGCCUAAUACAUGCAAGUCGAGCGAACGGACGAGAAGCUUGCUUCUCUGAUGUUAGCGGCGGACGGGUGAGUAACACGUGGAUAACCUUCCUAUAAGACUGGGAUAACUUCGGGAAACCGUAGCUAAUACCGGAUAAUAUUUUGAACCGCAUGGUUCAAAAGUGAAAGACGGUCUUGCUGUCACUUAUAGAUGGAUCCGCGCUGCAUUAGCUAGUUGGUAAGGUAACGGCUUACCAAGGCAACGAUGCAUAGCCGACCUGAGAGGGUGAUCGGCCACACUGGAACUGAGACACGGUCCAGACUCCUACGGGAGGCAGCAGUAGGGAAUCUUCCGCAAUGGGCGAAAGCCUGACGGAGCAACGCCGCGUGAGUGAUGAAGGUCUUCGGAUCGUAAAACUCUGUUAUUAGGGAAGAACAUAUGUGUAAGUAACUGUGCACAUCUUGACGGUACCUAAUCAGAAAGCCACGGCUAACUACGUG
rnacentral:rRNA from 1 species